GUAAAAGAUUUAUGGGAUGAAUUUCCUCUGAGAGCUAGAACCACAAUUGCAAAGGGAAAUCAAGGGGAAUGAAGCCCGGAAAGACUUCGCACAACCUAGGCAGGGGGUCUUUACAUCACGCAGUGACAAAACGCACCCUCAGCAUGCUGCAGGGUUUUUCUUCUCAGUCUCCAGUGUUGUUCCAAGAGGAAACAGCCUGGCCAUCCUCGCUAGCGUCAGGUCCUGCAGUGAUGUGGUUUGGGACUGCUUCCAAGAGCCCUGUUUUUCCAAGCAGGCCUUCUGAGACAAGCUUGAAAUUUCCUCUGCAAUGCAGAGCCUUCCCUAGCUGUCCACUCCUUUGGACCCCACAGCUGGAUGCUUCCUAUGUACUCCACAUUUUGAUCUAUCUUGGGGCCAUCCAGGUGCUCGCACCGAGUGGGCCUCCCAUGUCAGAGAGAUGAUGGGAAGAAAAUGCUGGGUGAGGCACUGUGAGCUGAUUGAAGCUUUUGGAUAGAACUGAAGGUGGUUGUUGGUUGUUUUUUGGUGUUUUUUGUUGUUGUUGUUGUUGUUUUGAAAUUGUCAGAAAUCGGGUGGACUGCUUGGAUCUCUCCUAUGAUUUGUCUUUUUGCAGUAAUGAACCCCUACAGACUAUUCCACUAAACCUUGCCUGCUCCAACACUGUUUCGUGGCAGCGAUGCAAAUGUGCUCUACGGUUUUUAGGCUAACAGUGUGAAACCCAAAACCACUUCUAGAAACUCUUGAGUUUAUUUCUUAGGUGACAGAAUUUCCACGUCGCCCAAGGAGAAACAUUGUCUAAAUUUUGGGCUUCUGCUUAGGAUAUUUUUUACUCGUGAAUCAUCUUUUCCGUAGUGAAAAUUUGCAUGACAUCUUGCUGCCAGUCUGACACAGCACCUCGCUAGAAGGACGAAUGAUGUUUGUUGAACAGGUAGCACAACAGAAGAUCUGCCACCCAAGCCAAGCUGCCAUCCAGCUAGACUCAGCUCUUGCUCUGAUCAGAGUUACAGACAGUACCAAGAAAGAGGAAGCACAACGAUUUGUAUGGUGUUAUUUUUUCUUUCGUGUAUUUUCAUCUUUACAUUUGCCUUUUCAAAAUGAAUAUGCAGAAAAUAAAGAAAGCACCCUCACAAAAAGAUGCA
rnacentral:lncRNA from 1 species